CGCAUGGGGAUUGCGACGCCCCACGAGGCGCCAGCUGAAGAUCGCGUUCCACCCGCCACACCAGCCAAUGGGGAACGCACAUG
rnacentral:ncRNA from 1 species